AUGGUGUAGGUGAUAAUAGUCCCACUUUGUCACAGGUGCAUGUGAUGGGAUGGAGGAGUCAGCGUGCAGGACGGGGUACUGUUGGUGAAGGUGAUAGGGCACAAGUGCGGGUGAUGGGGUGGAUG